GCUGAGUAAAGAUGAGCAUCACUCAACACAGUGUGGAUCAGCUCAUCUGUUUUUAGCUUGUUCUUACUAGUUCAGUGAGUGAUCAUGUUGAUCUAUAUUAUUAUACUGCUGUCAUCAAAUGAAGGUUCCAGAGCCUCAGAGGUCAUCAGUCCAAAAAGUGAGAGAGAAUUUGCUCUUGAGGGUGACAAUGUGACACUCUCCUGUAACUACAGCGGUUCUGCUCGUGGUUUUCACUGGUAUCAUCAAUAUACAGGAUCACCACCACAGUUCAUCAUACUGGAGGAUUCAGGGGUCAUAAUUCAAGCUGAUCCACCCAUUCCAGGAAUAACCAUCAUUCACAGAAAAACUGAAAAUCAUGUGGAUCUGAUCAUCUCCUCUGCUGAAACAUCAGAUUCAGCGCUGUACUACUGUGCUCUGCAGCCCACAGUGACAGGAAACCCUAUAAGACUGUACAAAAACUGUUUUAAUAUGCUUAUCAAGCCUUUAUAG